AAUGGGUUCAGCCAUUGAGGGAAAACGGUUAGUUGGACUCAAUUAAUCCUAAGAUCUAAAAUGAAGGUGAUCAAUCUCAAUUUUAGCAUUAAGUCCAUAAGCAAUGAAAGAACAAUCAAAAUACCUUUUUGAUAGUCAUAUUAGCAGUACAUAAUUUCAACCAUGGUGAGAAACCUAAAUCUAACAAUUGGUUUACUCAAACAAAUUCAUGAGAGACAAAGUCAUGAUGGUGUGAAAUAAACUCAAAUGAAACAUAGAACACAAAUAGAUAGAGUAAUAGAAAUAAAGGAGUUCAAGAUCUUCUCUGUUUUGCAGUCUCAGAUCGAUCUCUCCAUUCCUAAGCUCUCCUAAUGGUAGCCAAAAUACUCCUCUCCAAAACUAGUUUUUUGCAAAUGUCUCCUAGAAAUGAUACAAAACCCUAGUACAUAUAGCCUAACAGGCGGCUAUGGACUUAAGUUGUAAAUAAUAGAUCUUCUGGGAAACGAAAUCUUUUAAUUUGCUAUUUCAUCCGUGUGACUGGGUAUCGAUCAAUGCACAUAUAUG
rnacentral:lncRNA from 1 species